rnacentral:rRNA from 1 species
UACGUAGGGUGCAAGCGUUAAUCGGAAUUACUGGGCGUAAAGCGUGCGCAGGCGGUUUUGUAAGUCUGUCGUGAAAUCCCCGGGCUCAACCUGGGAAUUGCGAUGGAGACUGCAAGGCUAGAAUCUGGCAGAGGGGGGUAGAAUUCCACGUGUAGCAGUGAAAAUGCGUUGAGAGAUGGUGAGGAACACCGAUGGCGAAGGCAGCCCCCCUGGGUCAAGAUUGACGCUCAUGCACGAAAGCGUGGGGAGCAAACAGG